UGCUAUGAUUGUUAUAUAACGUUUACGUUAACGGUUAUAUUCUUUGCUCAACCCCUGAACAGGAUAUCCAGUCUUGGUCAGACUUUGCUGCAGCAGUGGAUGCUGGUAAAGAUGUGGUGUCUUUACUUGGACUUGAUGGCAGUCAACAAAAAGGAACACGUAGUAAGGAUUCACCUGAACCCCAACAGAACAAGAAUGAAUUUUGUGACAAUCUCAGAGUUGACGACAUAGCAGACCAACCUGUCCACUUUAUGUUCUCUCACACAAGUCUGAACCAGAAGUUGUUGAACUCAGUUUGUUCCAAUAGUACAGAAA